rnacentral:rRNA from 1 species
UACGUAGGGGGCAAGCGUUGUUCGGAAUUACUGGGCGUAAAGCGCGCGUAGGCGGUUUGACAAGUCAGAUGUGAAAGCCCCGGGCUCAACUUGGGAGGGUCACGCGAUACUGCUCGACUUGAAGGCAGGAGAGGGAAGUGGAAUUCCCGGUGUAGUGGUGAAAUGCGUAGAUAUCGGGAGGAACACCAGUGGCGAAGGCGGCUCUCUGGAACGCAACUGACGCUGAGACGCGAAAGCGUGGGGAGCAAACAGG